AGUGUAGGCGGGAUCGUAAGUUAGGAGUUUAAUACAUGGGCUUAACCCAUGAGCUGCUUUUAAUACUGCGGUUCUUGAGUAUGGGAGAGGGCGAUGGAAUUCCAGGUGUAGCGGUGGAAUGCGUAGAUAUCUGGAAGAACACCAGUAGCGAAGGCGGUCGCCUGGCCCAAUACUGACGCUGAUGCUCGAAAGCUAGGGGAGCAAACAGGAUUAGAUACCCUGGUAGUCCUAGCCGUAAACGAUGGACACUAGUUGCUGGAGGAGUCAAUCCUUUCGGUGACGAAGCUAACGCAUUAAGUGUCCCGCCUGGGGAGUACGCUCGCAAGGGUGAA
rnacentral:rRNA from 1 species